rnacentral:rRNA from 1 species
CCGUAGCCCAAGAGAUCGGGAUAACACCUGGAAACAGAUGCUAAUACCGGAUAACAACAGAUGAUGCCUAUCAACUGUUUAAAAGAUGGUUCUGCUAUCACUCUCGGAUGGACCUGCGGUGCAUUAGCUAGUUGGUAGGGUAACGGCAUACCAAGGCGAUGAUGCAUAGCCGAGUUGAGAGACUGAUCGGCCACAUUGGGACUGAGACACGGCCCAAACUCCUACGGGAGGCAGCAGUC